rnacentral:rRNA from 1 species
AUUGAACGCUGGCGGCGUGCUUAACACAUGCAAGUCGAGCGAUGAAGUUUCCUUCGGGAAAUGGAUUAGCGGCGGACGGGUGAGUAACACGUGGGUAACCUGCCUCAUAGAGGGGAAUAGCCUCCCGAAAGGGAGAUUAAUACCGCAUAAUAUUACAGUUUCGCAUGAAACAGUAAUUAAAGGAGCAAUCCGCUAUGAGAUGGACCCGCGGCGCAUUAGCUAGUUGGUGAGGUAACGGCUCACCAAGGCGACGAUGCGUAGCCGACCUGAGAGGGUGAUCGGCCACAUUGGGACUGAGACACGGCCCAGACUCCUACGGGAGGCAGCAGUGGGGAAUAUUGCACAAUGGGGGAAACCCUGAUGCAGCAACGCCGCGUGAGUGAUGACGGUCUUCGGAUUGUAAAGCUCUGUCUUUGGGGACGAUAAUGACGGUACCCAAGGAGGAAGCCACGGCUAACUACGUGCCAGCCGCCGCUGUAACAC